GAUGAACGCUGGCGGCGUGCCUAAUACAUGCAAGUCGAGCGAACAGACGAGGAGCUUGCUCCUCUGACGUUAGCGGCGGACGGGUGAGUAACACGUGGAUAACCUACCUAUAAGACUGGGAUAACUUCGGGAAACCGGAGCUAAUACCGGAUAAUAUAUUGAACCGCAUGGUUCAAUAGUGAAAGACGGUUUUGCUGUCACUUAUAGAUGGAUCCGCGCCGCAUUAGCUAGUUGGUAAGGUAACGGCUUACCAAGGCAACGAUGCGUAGCCGAACUGAGAGGCUGAUCGGCCACACUGGAACUGAGACACGGUCCAGACUCCUACGGGAGGCAGCAGUAGGGAAUCUUCCGCAAUGGGCGAAAGCCUGACGGAGCAACGCCGCGUGAGUGAUGAAGGUCUUCGGAUCGUAAAACUCUGUUAUUAGGGAAGAACAAAUGUGUAAGUAACUAUGCACGUCUUGACGGUACCGAAUAAGAAAGCCACGGCUAACUACGUG
rnacentral:rRNA from 1 species